UACAGAGGGUGCAAGCGUUAAUCGGAGUUACUGGGCGUAAAGGGCGCGUAGGUGGUUAUUUAAGUUGGAUGUGAAAUCCCUGGGCUUAACCUAGGAACUGCAUCUGAAACUGGGUAACUGGAGUACUGUAGAGGGUAGUGGAAUUUCCGGUGUAGCGGUGAAAUGCGUAGAGAUCGGAAGGAACACCAGUGGCGAAGGCGGCUACCUGGACAGAUACUGACACUGAGGCGCGAGAGCGUGGGGAGCAAACAGG
rnacentral:rRNA from 1 species